AGAUCUGCCAAUGGAUGUUGCAAUUAGUGUUCACUGACUUACAAAGCCAGAAGUUGCACUCUAUGAUUUGACAAGGGGAUUUCAUCGUAAGUGUCUUACCUUCAAUCACUGCUAAUGGCUCUUCUGGCAUAAAUUCAGAAAAGGCCUGACUACUUCUAUUUGAAUAGAAGACACAAGUGGACAAGCAGGAAGGAGUUAUGAUGUAAUUAAAUUGCACGGGGAGACAAGCUUUAAUUAAGAAAGUGAAUUAUUUAAAUUUUAAAGUUGCUUGUUCCUUUUUAGCCUAAUGGCUCAAGACAUUAUGAGUGUGUCCUGAUAAAAGCAUCAAGAGUGCAUGAUCAGGCAUCAGUGCAGAAUUCUAAAUAAAUGUUGUCCGUGCACGAUGCUCACCUUGUAGUAACUUACUAAAAGAACGAGUUACAACAACUCUUAUCUACUUUGUUCUCUCUUGUCUGUUAAACUGGGAGAAGACACAGAUCCUUAUCUGCACACCAUGGACUGAAUUAAUCAAAAUAAUCAUAUUUGAUUUUGUAUGCAUGAAACUGUAUUGCUAUUGUCUCAAAAGAGCUGAUUUAAGAAUGGUUCAAAGAUUCUCCAGGAAACUCUAUGGCAGAUAGAUUUUUAACACAGAACUUACUAUUUUAUAAAAAUAAGCAUAUUUUUAAAAGAACACUAAACUGAGUUUCUUUUUUAAAAUGCUGGAAUAUAACUGGUGCCUGGGGCAUUGUUUUGUUUUUAAUCUAAUUACAUUCGUGAGAAAACUUGAUUUAAAAAACAAAUUACUUUUGGUUCAAAUUUCUCUUAUUCCUGUCUUUUACAAAUGAUCUUGGCUUCCUCUUCCCCAGCUUUCUUUGUCUGGGAUAUUCAAAAGAGCUUAGCAUUGGUCUAACUUUGCACUUACUGAAGUCAAUGGCUGAGCUCAUUUGAAAAUCAUUGGGAGAACUCCUGCUGUCCAGGGUGAGAUUAGAUUAACAUGCCCUACUUAAUACUGAAGAUGUGUGGUCUUCAGAGGGUUUUUCUUUUCCGAACUAAAAUAAAGCUUUCUGAUUGUACCUCCACUUUGUAGAAGAGAUAUCUAUGAAGAAACUCAUUUGUUUAGAUGCUCUGAUAAUUAUUGUUAAUGUGCAAUAGUUGUAUAGUGGUUAAAAAGCUGACAUGGGAUAUUGAGUGGAUCUGGAUGUUUGUAAGAUAUUCAAAACAGGAGUUAGGGUGAAAAAUUACUAUUGGAAAAUGGUUCUAAAAACUGCAUGAACUCAAUUAGAAGUUUUAGCUCAGGUCCUAAUAAACAAAUGCCUAGUGCAAGAGAUAGGGUCUGUGAACUAGUGGGUCUUUUCCAUCUCUAAUUUGUAUGAUGAGUGUGUAUUCAUCUUGAUUGUCAUGACCUAGUAUUCUCAGGAGAAAAUCUGUCUGAAUCAACAGAAAGAAAGAAAUACCAUUUCUGAAAAUCCAGAGAGGACCUUAGUCUUUGGAACUGGCAUUUCACAAACAGACUUCAUAUCUAUUACUGGAUAUUAGUUUAUCACCAAAGUGGAGCCAAAUAGUAAUUUACAGUUCAAUGGAAUGGAAGUGAAAAAUGGUUGUUUUGUGUAAGACUCAAAAGUUUGACCAGGGGUGUCAAAUUCGCAUGGGUCCCCAGGAACCUCAUAGGUUGGAUCUGGACCUGGCAGUGGUGGUAGGGUGAGCAGUGGAGGCAGCAGGGUAGGUGCUAGUCUAGGGUUAGCAUUAGCCCUUCCCCUGAAUCCCUGGCUCCUCUGAGAGGUCUGUGGAUUGCAUCUGGAUUCAGGCUAUAUCUUUGACAUCCUUGCUCUACAUUAUACACACCUCUGUGAGUGCCCUAUGUGGCUUCCUGUCCUGAAUGUUCCCAAGGCUACCUAAAACUUCACAGUAAGUUCUCGUUUUCAUCUGGAAUAAGGUUCUUAUAGAAGGACACUCUUUCUCCCUACGUGAGUCCCUGAUACAAAUCCCAAAUACCUUCAGUUCUCUUUAGCCUCAGUAUGUCUCAGCUGGUAAAUAGUACACUUCAAUAAAAUAUAUGUCAGAAAAAGUGUACAAAACUUGUAUCUUAAUGGUCCAGAUCCUCAAAUGUACCUGAGGAAGAGGAUGAGGCAUAGGUAGCUUGCUGCCAUCUUUCAGCUCCCCUUAUUCUGGUGUUGGCCAGGUGCCACUUUGCCACCUAGAAUGAGAAAAAAAAAAUCCAAAUUUUACUCAGAUUUGGCACAUGACAAUCUGGAGAAGCUGCUCUACCAUCCCAGAACUUCCAGAGCACAAUCCUGUCCCAGCAAAGUCGCUUCAAGGGGAUGAGGAGAGAAGAUCACUCUAAUUUUAAUCUACUUUAGCCAUAGCUGGCUUUUAAACUGCUACUAUUUUGUUUGGGCCGCCAGAACAACAGACAGUAAAACAGAAGGAAGAAACCAACCCAUUCAAUGAAAAAAUAAAAUAACACAGAACAAUUCCUACAAGUUUUGCUGCAUAAUAAUUAAAUCAUCUAAUAGCAGAUGGACAAGGGAAUGAAAGCAUUCUGGAAGAACAUGAAAUA